rnacentral:antisense_RNA from 1 species
CUUGAUCGACCCCAGCCACAGGGGCUCGGAGCGGUCCUGGCCAUAGGUCGCCAGCAACGCCUGCGCCUC